GAUGAACGCUGGCGGCGUGCCUAAUACAUGCAAGUCGAGCGAACAGACGAGGAGCUUGCUCCUCUGACGUUAGCGGCGGACGGGUGAGUCACACGUGGAUAACCUACCUGUAAGACGGGGAACACUUCGGGAAACCGGCGAUAAUACCGGAUAAUAUAUUGAAGCGCAUGGUUCAAUAGUGAAAGACGGUUUUGCUGUCACUUAUAGAUGGAUCCGCGCCGCAUUAGCUGGUUGGUAAGGUAACGGCUUACCAAGGCAACGAUGCGUGUCCGACCUGAGAGGGUGGUCGCCCACCUUGGAGCUGAACCACCGUCCAUAGUCCUACGGGAGGGACCAGUCUGGAACCUUCCGCAGUGGGGGAAAGCCUGACGGAGCAACCCCGCGUGAGAUAUAGCGGUCUUCGGUUCGUAAAGCUCUGUUUUUAGGGAAAAACAAAUUUGUAAGUAACCAUGCACUUCUUGACGGUACCGAAUCAGAAAGCCCCGGCUAACUACGUG
rnacentral:rRNA from 1 species